GGGUUGUGAGGUUAAGCGACUAAGCGUACACGGUGGAUGCCCUGGCAGUCAGAGGCGAUGAAGGACGUGCUAAUCUGCGAUAAGCGCCGGUAAGGUGAUAUGAACCGUUAUAACCGGCGAUUUCCGAAUGGGGAAACCCAGUGUGAUUCGUCACACUAUCAUUAACUGAAUCCAUAGGUUAAUGAGGCGAACCGGGGGAACUGAAACAUCUAAGUACCCCGAGGAAAAGAAAUCAACCGAGAUUCCCCCAGUAGCGGCGAGCGAACGGGGAGGAGCCCAGAGCCUGAAUCAGCAUGUGUGUUAGUGGAAGCGUCUGGAAAGGCGCGCGAUACAGGGUGACAGCCCCGUACACAAAAGCGCAUGUGCUGUGAGCUCGAUGAGUAGGGCGGGACACGUGGUAUCCUGUCUGAAUAUGGGGGGACCAUCCUCCAAGGCUAAAUACUCCUGACUGACCGAUAGUGAACCAGUACCGUGAGGGAAAGGCGAAAAGAACCCCGGCGAGGGGAGUGAAAAAGAACCUGAAACCGUGUACGUACAAGCAGUGGGAGCCCCACCACCAAAGCAUUCUCUGGUGUUGAAGGCCCUGCAAAGCAGCAUCGCGGUGGCGGAGCGUCGUUUGCGACGCCCAACACACAAAACAAGCGGUGAAUGCUUUGGGGUGGGGUGACUGCGUACCUUUUGUAUAAUGGGUCAGCGACUUAUAUUCUGUAGCAAGGUUAACCGUAUAGGGGAGCCGGAGGGAAACCGAGUCUUAAUUGGGCGUUAAGUUGCAGGGUAUAGACCCGAAACCCGGUGAUCUAGCCAUGGGCAGGUUGAAGGUUGGGUAACACUAACUGGAGGACCGAACCGACUAAUGUUGAAAAAUUAGCGGAUGACCUGUGGCUGGGGGUGAAAGGCCAAUCAAACCGGGAGAUAGCUGGUUCUCCCCGAAAGCUAUUUAGGUAGCGCCUCGUGAAUUCAUCUCCGGGGGUAGAGCACUGUUUCGGCUAGGGGGCCAUCCCGGCUUACCAACCCGAUGCAAACUGCGAAUACCGGAGAAUGUUAUCACGGGAGACACACGGCGGGUGCUAACGUCCGUCGUGAAGAGGGAAACAACCCAGACCGCCAGCUAAGGUCCCAAAGUCAUGGUUAAGUGGGAAACGAUGUGGGAAGGCCCAGACAGCCAGGAUGUUGGCUUAGAAGCAGCCAUCAUUUAAAGAAAGCGUAAUAGCUCACUGGUCGAGUCGGCCUGCGCGGAAGAUGUAACGGGGCUAAACCAUGCACCGAAGCUGCGGCAGCGACGCUGAUGCGUUGUUGGGUAGGGGAGCGUUCUGUAAGCCUGCGAAGGUGACCUGUGAGGGUUGCUGGAGGUAUCAGAAGUGCGAAUGCUGACAUAAGUAACGAUAAAGCGGGUGAAAAGCCCGCUCGCCGGAAGACCAAGGGUUCCUGUCCAACGUUAAUCGGGGCAGGGUGAGUCGACCCCUAAGGCGAGGCCGAAAGGCGUAGUCGAUGGGAAACGGGUUAAUAUUCCCGUACUUGGUGUUACUGCGAAGGGGGGACGGAGAAGGCUAUGUUGGCCGGGCGACGGUUGUCCCGGUUUAAGCGUGUAGGUGUGUGUUCCAGGUAAAUCCGGUUCACUUUAACACUGAGGCGUGACGACGAGGCACUACGGUGCUGAAGCAACAAAUGCCCUGCUUCCAGGAAAAGCCUCUAAGCAUCAGGUAACACGAAAUCGUACCCCAAACCGACACAGGUGGUCAGGUAGAGAAUACCAAGGCGCUUGAGAGAACUCGGGUGAAGGAACUAGGCAAAAUGGUGCCGUAACUUCGGGAGAAGGCACGCUGACACGUAGGUGAAGUGAUUUACUCAUGGAGCUGAAGUCAGUCGAAGAUACCAGCUGGCUGCAACUGUUUAUUAAAAACACAGCACUGUGCAAACACGAAAGUGGACGUAUACGGUGUGACGCCUGCCCGGUGCCGGAAGGUUAAUUGAUGGGGUCAGCGUAAGCGAAGCUCCUGAUCGAAGCCCCGGUAAACGGCGGCCGUAACUAUAACGGUCCUAAGGUAGCGAAAUUCCUUGUCGGGUAAGUUCCGACCUGCACGAAUGGCGUAAUGAUGGCCAGGCUGUCUCCACCCGAGACUCAGUGAAAUUGAACUCGCUGUGAAGAUGCAGUGUACCCGCGGCAAGACGGAAAGACCCCGUGAACCUUUACUAUAGCUUGACACUGAACAUUGAGCCUUGAUGUGUAGGAUAGGUGGGAGGCUUUGAAGUGUGGACGCCAGUCUGCAUGGAGCCGACCUUGAAAUACCACCCUUUAAUGUUUGAUGUUCUAACGUGGACCCGUAAUCCGGGUUGCGGACAGUGUCUGGUGGGUAGUUUGACUGGGGCGGUCUCCUCCUAAAGAGUAACGGAGGAGCACGAAGGUUGGCUAAUCCUGGUCGGACAUCAGGAGGUUAGUGCAAUGGCAUAAGCCAGCUUGACUGCGAGCGUGACGGCGCGAGCAGGUGCGAAAGCAGGUCAUAGUGAUCCGGUGGUUCUGAAUGGAAGGGCCAUCGCUCAACGGAUAAAAGGUACUCCGGGGAUAACAGGCUGAUACCGCCCAAGAGUUCAUAUCGACGGCGGUGUUUGGCACCUCGAUGUCGGCUCAUCACAUCCUGGGGCUGAAGUAGGUCCCAAGGGUAUGGCUGUUCGCCAUUUAAAGUGGUACGCGAGCUGGGUUUAGAACGUCGUGAGACAGUUCGGUCCCUAUCUGCCGUGGGCGCUGGAGAACUGAGGGGGGCUGCUCCUAGUACGAGAGGACCGGAGUGGACGCAUCACUGGUGUUCGGGUUGUCAUGCCAAUGGCACUGCCCGGUAGCUAAAUGCGGAAGAGAUAAGUGCUGAAAGCAUCUAAGCACGAAACUUGCCCCGAGAUGAGUUCUCCCUGAGACUUAGAGUCUCCUGAAGGAACGUUGAAGACGACGACGUUGAUAGGCCGGGUGUGUAAGCGCAGCGAUGCGUUGAGCUAACCGGUACUAAUGAACCGUGAGGCUUAACCUUACAACGCCGAAG
rnacentral:rRNA from 1 species